rnacentral:rRNA from 1 species
CCUACGGGAGGCAGCAGUGGGGAAUAUUGCACAAUGGGGGAAACCCUGAUGCAGCGACGCCGCGUGAGUGAAGAAGUAAUUCGUUAUGUAAAGCUCUAUCAGCAGGGAAGAAAAUGACGGUACCUGAGUAACAAGCCCCGGCUAACUACGUGCCAGCAGCCGCGGUCAUACGUAGGGGGCAAGCGUUAUCCGGAUUUACUGGGUGUAAAGGGAGCGUAGACGGCAGUGCAAGUCUGGAGUGAAAGGCGGGGGCUCAACCCCCGGACUGCUCAGGAAACUGUACGGCUGGAGUGAAGGAGAGGUAAGUGGAAUUCCUAGUGUAGCGGUGAAAUGCGUAGAUAUUAGGAGGAACACCAGUGGCGAAGGCGGCUUACUGGACUGUAACUGACGUUGAGGCUCGAAGGCGUGGGGAGCGAACGGGAUUAGAUACCCCAGUAGUC